GCAAAUAUACAAACAUUGUAACCAUCAAGAACUGACCGAAUCAAAGGCUGAGUGUCCCUAAAUACUUCCUCUUGAGUUGCCAUAGGACCAAAAACUUUAUUGAAAUUAAAUGAUUUCCGUCCCUCCUUGCCAUAUUUUGAGGGAGUGAUUACUGUAAUGCUUCCUUCCUCCAUGUGAUCCACAGCACUGAAACGGUUUGGUUGUCCCGGCAAGAAGGGUCUCACUCGGCAG
rnacentral:misc_RNA from 1 species